rnacentral:rRNA from 1 species
GACGAACGCUGGCGGCGUGCUUAACACAUGCAAGUCGAACGGAAAGGCCUCUUUCGGGGGGUACUCGAGUGGCGAAUGGGUGAGUAACACGUGGAUAACCUACCUAUAAGACUGGGAUAACUUCGGGAAACCGGAGCUAAUACCGGAUAAUAUAUUGAACCGCAUGGUUCAAUAGUGAAAGACUGUUUUCCUGUCACUUAUAGAUGGAUCCGCGCCGCAUUAGCUAGUUGGUAAGGUAACGGCUUACCAAGGCAACGAUGCGUAGCCGACCUGAGAGGGUGAUCGGCCACACUGGAACUGAGACACGGUCCAGACUCCUACGGGAGGCAGCAGUAGGGAAUCUUCCGCAAUGGGCGAAAGCCUGACGGAGCAACGCCGCGUGAGUGAUGAAGGUCUUCGGAGCGUAAAACUCUGUUAUUAGGGAAGAACAAAUGUGUAAGUAACUAUGCACGUAUUGACGGUACCUAAUCAGAAAGCCACGGCUAACUACGUG